GACGAACGCUGGCGGCGUGCCUAAUACAUGCAAGUAGAACGCACAGUUUAUACCGUAGCUUGCUACACCAUAAACUGUGAGUUGCGAACGGGUGAGUAACGCGUAGGUAACCUGCCUGGUAGCGGGGGGUAACUAUUGGAAACGCUAGCUAAUACCGCAUGAUAUUGAUUAUUGCAUGAUAAUUGAUUGCAAGAUGCUAUUGCAUCACUACCAGAUGGACCUGCGUUGUAUUAGCUAGUAGGUGAGGUAACGGCUCACCUACGCGACGAUACAUAGCCGACCUGAGAGGGUGAUCGGCCACACUGGGACUGAGACACGGCCCAGACUCCUACGGGAGGCAGCAGUAGGGAAUCGUCGGCAAUGGACGAAAGUCUGUCCGAGCAACGCCGCGUGAGUGAAGAAGGUUUUCGGAUCGUAAAGCUCGGUUGUAAGAGAAGAACGGGUGUGAGAGUGGAAAGUUCACACUGUGACGGUAUCUUACCAGAAAGGGACGGCUAACUACGUG
rnacentral:rRNA from 1 species